GGGCCGCUGGCCGGGGCGCUGAAUGCCUUCGCCAAUGCCGCCGGCGUGACGCUGUCGUUCGACCCGGCGGCGGUGCGC
rnacentral:tRNA from 1 species